GAUGAACGCUGGCGGCGUGCUUAACACAUGCAAGUCGAACGAUGAAGCCGGAGCUUGCUCUGGUGGAUUAGUGGCGAACGGGUGAGUAACACGUGAGUAACCUGCCCUUGACUCUGGGAUAAGCGUUGGAAACGACGUCUAAUACCGGAUACGAGCUUCGGUCGCAUGACUAGGAGCUGGAAAGAAUUUCGGUCAAGGAUGGACUCGCGGCCUAUCAGCUAGUUGGUGAGGUAACGGCUCACCAAGGCGACGACGGGUAGCCGGCCUGAGAGGGUGACCGGCCACACUGGGACUGAGACACGGCCCAGACUCCUACGGGAGGCAGCAGUGGGGAAUAUUGCACAAUGGGCGAAAGCCUGAUGCAGCAACGCCGCGUGAGGGACGACGGCCUUCGGGUUGUAAACCUCUUUUAGUAGGGAAGAAGCGAAAGUGACGGUACCUGCAGAAAAAGCACCGGCUAACUACGUGCCAGCCGCCGCGGUAACAC
rnacentral:rRNA from 1 species